UGGAGGUCAUAUCAUGCAUAAUUGAGAAUCUCUGUUGCUUAAAAUUUACACCGAACGUUAAUGGGGUCAUCUAAAUACGAAACAUUCAUGAAAUCAAUAAAGCUGAUGAAUUCACGGUAAGGAAACAUAACGUUAUACUUACGCUCUGCAUUGUCAUUUGAUUCGAACUUUACAUCGUCAUCGUUGAUGGUCACUUUGGUUUCAACACCAUCCACAACCAAAUUAUACAACAUCUUUAAGCACCUGCUGAUUAAAUUGGGUUAGGAUCGACGUUACAUUUAUAUGGAUUUUCGGACCUUAUCAAAGAGUACUGUCCUCCUAAUCAGUAUUCACGGAAUGCGAUAAUGACGUCUUUCAACAAAAAGCAAAGAUCAGGUCGAUAUUUCUACUAUUUACAGUUAGAUUAUUUGAUUCACUAUGCAAUUGGAACUGACGCCCUGCUGUGGUAUUGGAGCUCGAGCAAAUUACGCAUCCCUGUAAAUCAUAUGGAACGCCUCAACUGCCUUAUGUGAAUAAUAUUCGUGUUGUGAUGGUACUUCAUUAUAUGAUGAUAUUUUGACUUUGCAUGCUGGUGCUUUAUUAUGAUAUGAUCAUUCAGAUGUUGAUUAGACUUGAAUUACGUAUUUAUUGCAUAUAGAACAUGUCUUUUAUAUCUACGAUACUUUCUAUUUAUUUCAGAAGGCAUUUAAGAUUGUAUAAAGUCAAGAUUUUGAUAUUUUACAUGUUUACCUUUUACUGAUCUAAUUAAUUCUUUAUACGCAAGAAGUUUAAAAUUUAAAAAAUUCAAAAUUUACAAUACUAUUGUUUUUCCUCAUUUUAAUUAUUGUUGUACAGUAUGGCAGGAUACAAAGAACAAGACAAAUAUUGAUAGGCUUUUUAAAUUACAAAAGAGGGCAGCAAGGAUCAUUUUUCAUAUCAAAUACCUCAUUCAGUGUCAACUUCUUGCAUGCUAUCAAAUUUGAGAUGGAUGCCUUUGAUUGACUAUUUUAUUUAUCGAAAAAUUAUUCUUAUGUUUAAAGUUUUACAUCAUAUGAUUCCAGAGUAUAUUUGCAUGUUUUUAGAUAUGUGAAUGAGGUAAACACAAGAAAUACAAGACAGAGCUCUACUAAUUUUAUCUAUGUUACAAGAGCCAAAACAGAAUAUUUUAGAAGACCUUUUAUCAUUUCAGAAGCAAUUUUAUGGAACUCAUUACCAGAUUUUAUAGGAAAAUGCACAACUACCACAUCUUUUAAAUAAGCCUAUCUUAAACAUUAUUUUGAUCCACAAUAAUACUCGUUUGUUUAUUGUCUCUUUUCAUUUAGUUCUUAUCUUUAUGUAUAUAAAUUGUGGUAUUUCCAUGAUUUGUGAUAUAUGUUCUCGAUAUGUAUAUAUAUAUAUAUAUAUAUAUAUAUAUAUAUAUAUACAUAAAAGAAAGCAAAAAAGAAAGGGAAUUGUGUGUUUUAAUGUAUUAUACCUGAGACAUUAUAUGCUGUGUGUGCGGGUGUGUAUUUCAUUAUUAUUAUUAUUUUAAUACGCCCUGAUACUGAUGUUUAAUCUUAUCUAGCAUAUUUAUGGUAUCUUGUGUUUUCAUGUUUUAUAUGUACAAUGAGGAUAGGUACAUCUUUUAAUGUUUUAUUUAUUUUCUAUGUAUUAUGUGUAUAACAUUCUGUUGUAAGGUAUAUAUCCAUUGUAAAGCACCUUUGAGCGUACAUAGUGUAUGAAAAGGGUGCUAUAUAAAUAUGGUAUUAUUAUUAUUAUUAUUAUAUAUGUUAUAGACAGGACAGCAUUGUAAACUAGUUUAUACAACUUAUUGUGCAAUCCUGUAUAAAUAAAGGAUAUUAUUAUUA